rnacentral:rRNA from 1 species
GAGCGCAACCCUUGUCCUUAGUUACCAGCACGUAAUGGUGGGAACGUCUAAGGAGACUGCCGGUGACAAACCGGAGGAAGGUGGGGAUGACGUCAAGUCAUCAUGGCCCUUACGGCCAGGGCUACACACGUGCUACAAUGGUCGGUACAAAGGGUUGCCAAGCCGCGAGGUGGAGCUAAUCCCAUAAACCGAUCGUAGUCCGGAUCGCAGUCUGCAACUCGACUGCGUGAAGUCGGAAUCGCUAGUAAUCGUGAAUCAGAAUGUCACGGUGAAUACGUUCCCGGGCCUU